rnacentral:lncRNA from 1 species
AUAAGAUCUUUAUUUUCAAGAUUUAGUAACCUGAAAAGAAAAGGUAAGCUGGUAGAACCGACAACAGAAAAUAAUGAAAAUAGUCAGGUUAACGAUAACAAAGAAGUUUAUGGCGAAAAUGAUGACUUUAAUCUGACAGGAGACAGUGAAGAUGAUAAUAAAUAUGAGGAAGACAUCGCCAAUCUUGCAAAAGAAAUUUGUCUUGUAUGGAAAGUGAAUGAUUGGGUUGCUGUUGCAUAUGAAAAACAAUAGAAUAUUGGAUAUAUUGUGGAGGUAUCUAUAACUGGGAUCAGAGUUAAUUG